rnacentral:lncRNA from 11 species
GCCAAGCCAGACAAACUGCUGGCCAUGACAGCGUGCGUGCUAUUAUUUGCCUGUCUGCCUACAUGAAGAAGAUGAGAUCUGAGAUUCUACAUAAAGCAGGUGCCCCAGUAUUUUUGGACAUCUUUGGAACACUCAAGUGCCUUCAGGAAUGUGAUUGUGAGCCAUCCAAGGCGAGAGAUCAUUAAACCAAGCCCAGGGCCACAGAAGGAGCUGGUGGGAAGAAGUCCAACAUGACUUUCAAGCAGCAUAACAACCAAAUUUUUCUUUUAGAAAACAACAACACAUCAAGAAGUCUCA